ensembl:snoRNA ACEA small nucleolar RNA U3
AAGACUAUACUUUCAGGGAUCAUUUCUAUAGUUUAUAGCUAGGAAAUGUGAUUUGAAAGCGAUACGUCUCUCUAAUCACGAUGACGAGUUGUGAUGUGCUCUUCUGAGCGUGAAUCGGGUUUGAGCUGAUGAUCUUUUUCAUGUGUUUUAACCAUUGAUGAACGUUCUUUACUUCUUCUGAGGUAUAAGAGGAAGAGCAUAUGAUCAGAGUGAUU